CGUGAAUAUAAAAUGGCGACAUGAAAGAAUAGUAUGAUCAUGAUGGUGAAUUUUUGUUUUUUAGGUCCGGGUUGAGGUAUUCAACUUUUGGUGGCUAACAUUAACUGGUAAGUUGUGUAUAAUUUGUUCCAGUAGAUAUACCCAUUUUCGUUUAAAAAUAUUUCAAGUUAACCAAUAUCGAUUUGAAUUUGGUCGAUUAUCUAUUUAGCAACGGAAAAUCUCAUAAUAAAAUCAUAUGCAUUUUACACCAACAGAGCAUUCAUUGUCUAUCAUUUAAAUUUCAGACUAUUUUCUCUAUAUAACACGAUACUGUUUGAAUAGAAAGUGCCUGACCAAAAGGGUAGAGCUACAUUUUUUCGACCAGAUUGUUUUUGUUUGAACAAGAACACGAAAAUAAGUUGAAAAUAUAUUAUAUAGACACUGUGCCAUUUUAAAAUUUUUAAAUACCACAUGUUUGUUAUUUAAACAUUCAGCUUUUAUUCAAACAAUUUAAUUGUGUGUUACAUUUUGUAACAUGAUAAUAAUAAUAAUAAUACUUUAUUCAGAAGCAAUACAGCUUAUAGAAUAUACAAUUUAACAAUAUUUUUUUGAAUGCAUCAGUGAAAUAUAAAUACAAUAAUUAUACACAAUACAUGUAUGAUUAAGUAUGGUUUUUGCUUUUUAAAAAAUCCUGUUUUCACUCAGUAGAAUUUACAUUAUUGUCAAAGUUUGGUUUGCUCUGAAUAUAUGUGAACUAUUUGCCGCUGGACGUUAAGUUAUAAAAAUCCACCCAUCUAUCAAAUUUCAUUUCAAGCAUAUUUGAAUAAACCAAAAUGAUUGCUUCAAAUAAUUGAAUAUAAUUUUAAGCAUUUUUAUAGCUAAUUUCCACCAACUAAUGGAAAAGAAUAAUUCGUGUCACCAAAUAUAUUUUUUCUCGUCCUGCAUAUGUAUGAAAUAUUUGUCACUGGGCAUUAAGCAAACAAGUCAUAAAAGUCUGUGAUAUCAAUUUUGCUAGGAAAAUAAAAACUCUGUUUUAUAUAAAAAAAAAAAAACAAAAAAAAAACAACAACAAAACCCAUAUUUUGAUAAAAUGAAUUGUUAAUGCACAAUUGUUUUUUUUUUAAAUCAUACAAGAAUUUAAAAAUCCAAUUGAUACAUUUAAAUAAUUUACUAGUAAAACAAAGAACAUGGACGUGUUUACCAAGAAAUAUCAAUGACCUGAUCAUGAAUCUGGGCACAUACAUUUUAUUUAAAGAUUAGUGUACUACUGUUCAACAAAAUUACAGCACACAAAUUAAAAUUUUUGUUGUUUACAUGUAAAUGACUUCUUUUAUCAAACAUUUUCUUAUUUAAUAAAAACGCAAUGGACAAAUUUUGUAACCAUGGACUUGUUAUGCUAGAUAUUUUUGGCUGUCAGGACACUUUUAUACUACGUCUAGUUUAUCUCUUACUCACGCUCCCUUCUUUGGUCGAAAAACAUUUUUUUCUUCUUCAUAAAAUCGUCCAAAACGUUGGAAAGUAUAAACCACAUAUAUUUCGUAUUACGAAUUACUCUCCCUUUCUAAAUUCCUGGAUUUCCCCCUCCGUUGUGGAUCGCUGUGUGGAUUUUUUUCACUGUCAUUUGAUUGUUGUCACAUGAAUUAUGACAUCAUGUUUACCCCAUACUUCUUUUUAGCUCACCUGGCCCACAGGGCAAAGUGAGCUUUUCCCAUCACUUUGCGUCAGUCGUCCGUCGUCCGUCGUCGUCCGUCGUCGUUGUUAACUUUUACAAAAAUCUUCUCCUCUGAAACUACUGGGCCAAAUUUAACCAAACUUGGCCACAACCAUCAUUGGGGUAUUUAGUUUAAAAAAUGUGUCCGGUGACCCGGCCAACCAACCAAAAUGACCGCCAUUGCUAAAAAUAGAACAUAGGGGUAAAAUGCAGUUUUUGGCUUAUAACUCAAAAAACAAAGCAUUUAGAGCAAAUCUGACAGGGUAAAAUUGUUUAUCAGGUCAAGAUCUAUCUGCACUGAAAUUUUCAGAUGAAUUGGGCAACCCGUUGUUGGGUUGCUGCCCCUGAAUUGGUAAUUUUAAGGAAAUUUUUCUGUUUUUGGUUAUUAUCUUGAAUAUUAUUAUAGAUAGAGAUAAACUGUAACAGCAAUAAUGUUCAGCAAAAUAAGAUUUACAAAUAAGUCACAUGACCGAAAUGGUCAGUUGACCCCUUUAGGAGUUAUUGCCCUUUAUAGUCAAUUUUUAACCAUUUUUCGUAAAUCUUGAUAAUCUUUCAGAAAAACUUCUCCUCUGAAACUACUGGGCCAAAUUAAACCAAACUUGGCCAUAAUAAUCAUUGGGGUAUCUAGUUUUAAAAAAUGCGUCCGGUACUCGGCCAAACAACAAAGAUGGCACAUGGCUAAAAAUAGAACAUAGGUGUAAAAUGCAGUUUUUGGCUUAUAACUCAAAAACCAAAGCAUUUAGAGCAAAUCUGACAUGUGGUAAAAUUGUUUAUCAGGUCAAAAUUUAUCAGCCCUGAAAUUUUCAGAUGAAUUGGACAACCUGUUGUUAGGUUGCUGCCCCUGAAUUGGUAAUUUUAAGGAAAUUUUGCUGUUUUUGGUUAUUACCUUGAAUACUAUAAUAGAUUGAGAUAAACUGUAAACAGCAAUAAUGUUCAGCAAAGUAAGACCUAAAAAUAAGUCAACACGACCAAAAUGGUCAAUUGACCCCCUAAGGAGUUAUUGCCCUUCAUAGUCAAUUUUUAACAAUUUUCAUUAAAUUUGUAGAUUUUCACAAACAUUUUCCACUGAAACUACUGAGCCAAGUUCAUUAUAGAUAGAGAUAAUUGUAAGCAGCAAGAAUGUUAAGUAAAGUAAAAUCUAAAAACACAUCACCAUUACCAAAACACAAUUUUGUCAUGAAUCCAUCUGUGUCCUUUGUUGACCAAGGUGAGCGACACAGGCUCUUUAGAGCCUCUAGUGUUUUACUCUGAAAAGUAAAACAUUUAAAUUGAUAGCAUGAUUUUGAAUUAUGACCACACUACAUGUGUUAAAUACAUACAUGUAUGGAUCUGUUAAAUAUCUGUAUUAUUUAUCCACAAGGGUUUUGGUAUAACACUUAAGAAUACAACAUAUGAUCAAUACAUGUAGUACAUUGUUCACCUAAUUAUAAAUUGAUAAAUACAUGUAUCAACAUAGUAUUACAUAGAUAGCUAUUUCUAACAAGGUUACUAUAUAUCAAAUAUUUCAAAAUGAGAUCAAUUCUACGACUUUUGUGGAUUAGAAAAAGACAUGCACAUAUUGGUAAGUUAAUUAUUUUUUUUAAUUAAACAGUUAAAUGGUUGCCCAGUUAUGGCCGUCGUAUUGUUAGUGCCACUAGUACCCACUGACAAGAACAUACUUAUACCUCUCUUUUACACACAGUUUUUAGAAAUAUUUUAGAACUUGAUUGAUUUUACAAGUUCUAGAUUAGGUUCAUAGAGUUGUCGGACGAUGAAAUCAAUGUGUAUGAUUUUCAAAAAAGUGCAUGUUUAUAUAUAUGAAGGUUUAUAAAGUGAACAUUUUAUUAUAUGUGGCAAUCUAUGAGAAUUUGUGGAUGAAUUUGACUCUAAUAUUUUGGACACAUGGCUUAAAAUGAUUUAAAUGAUGACUGUGACAAAGAGACUGUAUCAUAGUAAAUAGGAAGCGAGUAAUGUAUAAGUUUAAAGGUCUGAAUGAGGAGUCUUUAAUUCUGAAUUCUUUAAUGUUCCAAGCCAUUUUCCUCUAGUUUUGUGCCUGUUAUUCUUCAUUAUUUAUAUUUUAGCACCUCUCUAUUCCCAUUUCCUUAUUUUUCGGUCCUUUUCUCUAUUCUGUACUGAUUUGCCCAUAUUUUCUGUCGUACUGGCUCACUAUUCUCUAUUCUGAAAAUCUAAUCCAGACCCUCAAGUAUUCUAUUACAUGUAUACACAUUUAAGUCGAUAUUGUAGAUUAAACUUUAAAGUCAUAUAAUGGAGAUUGUAAAAAAAGGUUACACUCAUGUGGCUUCCUUGUGUCAUGUAAUGAACGUUUAUAUGGGAAGGAAACAAACAUUUUACAAGUGCUUUAUAAAUUUUAUAUUCAACCUUGUCAGUCAUUUUGUAUGAAUAUAUAUUGAGUAACUUUAUAGUAUAAUUCUUAUUCUGUCUUUUAAAACAAAAUGCAAGUAAUUAUAACAGGGGUUUUCGUCGUUCCUGUUAUAUUUAGAAUUCGGGGGGAAAGUCACUGGAUAAAGUCAACAAAACUAAGUUAAGCUUUACAUAUAUAACUUCUUCAAUAGUGCAAAACAUUAAUUACAAUAAAAGUUCAACGGUAAAUAUUCCGGAAAGAUACAACAAAUGGUAAUUCCAAUAAAUGUUCUAUACUAAACACAAUGAAUGUCACUGUAAAUGCACGGCGUCCGUACAGCUUGACCGCUGGUAUCCAACUGACCAUUUACAUAGAAACAAUAUAAAAUGAAUUACGUAAUCUUACUUAAUCAUAACUACAUGUACUAAUGAAAUUUGUCACGUAAUGCUAUAAACGAAUAAUACAAUUAAAAACAUAUAUACGAUAACAAGAAAUAGACAAUGCUAAGAUUAAAAUGGAUUAACUUCUUAACAUGUAAGCUGACAAUUUUGAGAACAAUAGUAUCUUGCUUUAAGAUAAAGUUUGAAUGUCCACGAAAUAAACAAAGCGGAAAAUAUCGCUGUCACAUAAUUAUAGAUUAUCGUUGAUCAUCUCAACGAGAUUGAUUUUCUCGCUUGAGUCGGGACGGCGAAAGCGAGAAAGCAAAUCGAGUUGAGAUGACCGAUGAUUAAUCUGUUUAUCGCUAUUUUACCUAUGACGACGUUGUCAAUUUUAUGUCAAUUUCAUUAGCAACGCCACGUGCCUCUUUAGUUUCUAGCGAUUAUUUUCCAUCUCAAGCGAGUAGCAUGAUAUGAAAAAUUAUCACAAAAAAAGAUCAUAGGAAAAAUGCACAAAAUAGCUUUACAUUAUAUUAUAUGAAAAAGUGCGUUUAGGAUGAUAAUAGGACAUGUUAGGUAUGAAGUAAGUUUGAAAAACUGUUAAGUUGAUUGGAAGCAAUGGAAAUAAAGUCUGAUUUCAAAUUGAUAAUUAUAAAAUUCUUACUAGUGAUGUGUUAUUAGAUUCUUCAACAUUGUUAAGAGUAUGGUUUAGUGAUUUGUAAAUGAAUUAUUAAUUUGCAUUAGUGAAUUAAUAGAACUGAUAUUGGAAAUAAUUUUAACAAGUGCGUUUACAUAUGGACCUUAUGGAUAAUAAUGAAUCAUUCUCUAUGUCAUCUGACCCCAAGGGUUGACUAUAUGAUAUAGAAGUAUGGUCAUCGCUGAACUUCUCCCGUCCGAUAGGAGUCCCAAUGGUUAAAGUGGUGCACCCGUUUGGUUGUGCGGGAUGCACAAAUACGCAGCAACGUUUUGUCGAAAUGCAAGUAUCUGCGAUGCAUUGUAUAUAUAGGAUGAGUACCUAUAUACGAUACAGACCACUAGCCAAAAAAUCUCCGAGGGAGUCCAUUUGUGGCCUGUUGUAAGGCAAUAUUGCUGCCCCUUAAAAUAUAUCCACAUUUUUCAGUUGUAGGCCAUAUUUCCCGCCCUCCACGCCAUUCAAUAUUCACGCAUACUUUACAUAACUUACUUGCUGUAGAGUAUUGAUUAGUAUUGUCCUUACGCAUAAAAUAUUUGCCACUGAACGUUAAGUAAGUAGCAAUCAAUAGUAUUAGAACAAUCAACGGAAAAAUACAAUUUUACAUUAGUUCUUGAUUUAACAAUUACUUAAUCUGAUAUAUUAUGUUUCAUAAAACAAAUGAUCUAUAUAUUUUUUUUAAAUGCAAGCAUAUACUUCAUGUUUACAAAUGUAUACGAGAGCUAGAGGCAGGGCCAAAAACCGAAAAACGACGAAAUGACAAACAUCAGUCAACAAAACAUAACACAAUAUAUAUUUUUUUAUCAAAUGUCCAAUAGGUAACCAUAUAUAAAUAUAAGUAGAUGUGGUUUUUGGUGACAAUGAGACAACUCUCCAUCCAAGUCACAAUUUGUAAAACUUAACCGUUAUAGGUCAAAGUACGCCCUUCAACACGGAGCAUUGGCUCACACCAAAAAGCAAGCUAUAAACGGCCCCCAAAAUCACCAGUGGAAACCCAAUUGCUACAUAUUUAUAUACACUAUAUCGUCCAUUCUUUAUUUUAACCAAUCUGCACAACUCGCCCUCCCAUUUCUUUAGUAUCGAAUUCAUAACAGUGUGGCUAUGGACAUUGAUUGGCGCACUUUAAUAUCCCAUUGACUGGGACAGAUUAGGUGAACGAUCGUCUAUAACGCCCAUUGCUCACGACGUCCUUAAUAUAAACAUUUAAACCGUGGGGUCACCAAAGGUUCUCAACGCCUAUAUAAAAUAAUUCGAAAUACUAAUCAGGAAUUUGUGUUUUGAUUUAUAUUGAUUAAUUAAACGUCCUUUACUUGUGUUUUUGUUAUGUUUCGACAAUCAAUUUUCAUAAUAAGAUAUCGCAAAGCCAUGUUAUUUCAGAAAAAAGAAUGACUUACUGAAUGCAUGUAUUGAUUGAUUAUCUUUUUCGGAUUUAACAAUUGCGAUUGUCGAGUUAUGUAUGUAAUCUUUUAACUUUUAUCUGGUCUAAUUUUAUUUUAGAACGAAUGCAUAAUCCACUUUCAAAAGUUGUGCAAAUACGAAACAUAAAGACAAAAUAUACUUCUGCCCUGUCUUUUUCGUACUUGAAAGUUAUUGGAUAGUAAGAAAGCUAUUUUGGAUUAAACCUUGUGAAAUUUGCAUGCAUUUACGUUAUUGUAUUGGCAAAAUGUAUCAUUUGGUGUAUAUAGGAAACUUAAACCGUUCUGCUAUACUGCUACUAUACUUGUGAAAAACACUUGGCAACAGAAACGCAUUCAUCUUAUCUAUAUAAAAAAAAUCGACCCAAUUUACAUAGAAAUGGACGUCUUCGUGCAUUUGUGAUCGCAAAUAAAAUAUGUUCCGGACCUUAUGAGUAUUUGGACCAUACGUGUAUGGUUGGACCAUAUUAGUAUACCCUUAUGGUCAUGAUAUAUGCGUAUGGUCCAAAUACUGAUAUGGUCCGGAACACAUACAUGAUAUUCUGUGCGUUGUCGGUCGUCUAUUAAUUUUUUUCUUUUGUUGAUGGAUUUGACGUCUUUCUGUGAGUGAUUAUUUGUUCAUGACUUAAAACUUACUUGCAAAUAAUUUAAAAACAAGACUUGAUUUACAAAAAUGUCCAAACAAACCAUGAUUUUUUUUUAAACAUACAUCACAUCCAUUGCAAAAGGCUAAAAUUCGCCAGGUCUUUAAUUUCAACUAAGUGAGUUGACUAAAUUAAUGUUGCGGACCAUUUUCCAAUUUCCAUGCGGUAUCCCUAUUUUUUUUUUCUCGCUCAUCUUUUAUGUUGUUUUUUUUUCAUCCCAAGACCUCUUGGAGCUUUCAUUCUAUAAAGUGUGUAUUUUGCUAAUGGUCGAAGGCCAUACGGGGACCUAUAGCUUGAUAACGCCUGUUGGUCCCUGGAAAGAAUGUGUCUGAUUGUCUAUCACACUUCAUAUUCUUAUUUUAACAUGCAGUUAUAUCUAUGAUAAGAAUGAAAAUUGAAUUGUCAUUGAGACAAAAACCCAACCAAAGAGCAAAAAAAAAAGAAAAAAAAAAGCCCAAGGCAACAUGUAGAUCUUUCGUAUCAAGGAAUUGCUAUAAAUAUAUUUAUUUCAGGUAAAUAGUAUUAGGCCAUACUCAAGUUAUAAAAUAGAUCUUGUCGUCAACUUUUGCAACCAGCUUCUAUGUUUCUAUAAUGCACUGUUCAUCUUUUUUGGGCUUCGACUUUUCCAUUGGACAGACAAUUUUGUUUUCGACUGUUUUAAAAAGAUGCAUUUUUUUUACAAAAUCAUACAAGUAAGGAGUCUCUGGCCUUUGGUAGUGUUGUAUGUUAAUUAAUGUUUGUUUAUUUAUUUGUUUAGGAAAUAAGUAUGACGUACAUUUUCACUGAACUAGGACACUUUUUAUAAUAGUUUUUCGAUAUCUCUCGGGCAAAAAUAAUCACGAAUAUAAUGCCUACCCAUGCAUUGAAAAAAAAACGGGUAUAAACUACACAGUGCAGCUUCCAACAAGAAUACAAGAUUUAUUGACUUUCAAAAUGCGACCAAAAUUAAAAAUUUGCUCGCAGCGGAAAAAAAUCAACAGUUUGAUUUUCAUUGAAAUAAAAUAAUUGUUAUGAUUUACACACCGUUACUUUUUCCAAUAUAAAUAUUCGAACUAUUUUUGUUUGUUGUUUCCUUUAUAAAUUUACAUCAUUUUUAAAAAGACCACGCGUCUUCGAUAUUUAGAAGACUAUAAAAGCGAUGUUCAUUAUCUUUCUUCUGCUGUAAGUUUAAUUUAGUUAUUUUGUGUCAUAAUUGCCAUCUCGUAUGUUUUAAAUUUGAAUAAAGAAGAUUCAGGUUGUCUUAUACGUCAAUGAUACACACAAAAAAACACGAUAACAAAUAAAAUAAGGUGCAACAUUCAUUCUCCAUGAAAAGAAUACAUCACAUGGAUGUAAUUUUUGUAAGAAAAAUACCAAUUUCGUGAGAAGUUGUGUGUUGGACUUGAAGAGCCAAGGCAAACUGACAAAAAUCUGAAUGAACGAAUCGAUUUAUGGUAUAUAAAAAAAAAACAAAGCCCACAUGGUUAGCAUUGAAUAAAUACAAGGCCACUCUUAAAUGAUCACAACGUAGAAGUUUUUGUUCUCUUAAUCAAUAAGAUAUUUUCUGAAAUAACGCGGGUCCCUAUUAACUUAAAAGUUUUUUUGGUUUUUUUUUACCAUGAAUAAACUUUUUUUUUAUUAUUAUUUAUUGAUAUCAGCUCUGGACAUUAAUAUUCUUAAAAGUGAAACUGUUGUAAGUGAUGGUAUAACAAUUAUUUAAAAUAAAUUCCUUAAAUGAUUUGUGAAAAGAAAGUUUCAUUUUAUGUAUCAAAAUUUGUAACAAAUGAUUAUUUAAAUCCCCACUUGAAGGCCUCCGAUAGACUGAGUGAGCAUAAAAUCAUCGCCCACGACAAACAAGUUAAGGGUAAACUUUUCAGUACAAUUACUAAUAAACGUUUUACUGUCGACCACACUGUUAUGAAUUUCGUUCUAUUUUGUCCAGUAUUAUUACUGUAAGUAUAUCAUGUGCAAUCAUAUUUUUUUUGGUAUUUCAGUACGAAGACAUGUUGGCAUGAGUUAUAUGCCUAGGUUUUGAGAUAAAUUAUGCAGAUUUGCGACAGAAAAACAUUACAUUACAUGUAAGUAGCAUAUUAAACAAGUAUAUUCUGACAAAGAAUCCGGACAUCAGGAUUAUAAGAUGUAAGAAACAGUAUCUUGUUUCAUUAUGGUGUUAACUGUUGAGAACAGCUUUGUAGGAGCCUGUUGUUUAGUGGUUGUCGUUUGUUGAUGUGGUUCUUAAGUGUUUUCCGUUCUUUUUAUAUAGAUUAUACCGUUGGUUUUCCUGUUCUAAUUGUUUUACACUUGUCAGGGCCCUUUAUAGUUUGCUGCAUGUUCGAUGUGAGCAAAUGCUACGUGUUGAAGGCCGUACUUUGACCUUUAAUUGUUUAUUUUUUAUUCAUUAUGACUUGGAUGGAGAGUUUUUACGUUGGCACUUAUGCCACAUCUUCUUAUCUAUAUAAGUAAGAGCUAUCUAUUUUAUAUUGAUCUGAUAAUAUGAAUCUAGCUCUUCUCAAUAGAUUUUUAUAGUUAGUUAUUAUGUUACAUACUAUUACACCACUGUCACAGGUUAAGGGAGCUUUUGCGGGUUUAUCGUAUGCACAUUACGCAAGCCGUUGGAUUUAUCGUUUGAAUUGUUUUUCAUUUGCCAUUUCGGAUCCGUUCCCAGCUUGCUGUGUGGCAUUUUCUCAUAUUUGAUAGCGUGUGGUGACCUAUAGUUGUCAACAUCUAAGUUAUUUGGUCUUUGUUGGAGAGUUGUCUCAUUGGCAAUUCAUACCGCGUCUUCUUAUUUUUAUUUAUUUUUAGACAAAAAAAAAAGAUGAAUUGAUUGUUAUAUAGGAAGCAAGAGUUUUGUUAAUCAUUAUAGUAUUUUUUUUUAAAAUGAAUCAAGAUACAAAUCAGUAUGUCAACUUGCUGUACAGUUUGAACAGUUAUGGACAAUCAUUGGCCUAUAUUAUGUUGAAGAUGAUAUUUUAGCAUUGCACAAGGUUAUACGAUAUGUGUACACCAUCGGAAAGUAUAAAAAUUAUUUGUACGAGCUUUAGAAACAUUUCGAAAAGCGAGAUUUUCUCCUGUUUCUAAAGCUCUUAAAAUACAGUUUAUAUUUCCGACAAAUGAAUGUAUACAUUGUUUUGUCCUGCAAUUUAAACGCAGAACUCGAUUCAGUAUGAAAUAUUCACUUAACCAAUUGCUCAACAUGGCAGCAGAGUAACAGAAGAAAUUUUGUUAUACACGUACAAAAUAAAGCAAAAAAUUAUGUAUGUAACACUGUACCUCUAAUUUGUACAAAUUGAAUAGUCCAAUUGCAGGAUUGAUAAUUUUCUUUGGCUGUUUAUGACGUUUUUACACUAAUUCCAUUGGAAGUGUACUACUUUAUGUUUAAGUUUGAUGAACAUGAUUUAUAUGUUAUUUGUUGAGCUUCGACCUAUACUACUGUAGGUAAGUCUCUUGGAUCAAUGCGAUUCACUUUUUGUCUAUUUUAGCUCAAAAUUUUGUAUAUAUUUUUAACCACUGUGGUCAGCGGGAAAGAUAUGCGCUCAGAACAAAAUGAUAUAUCUCGCCACAUUGUGUAUGUACCUGCCAAAAGUCAGGAUUGUUAACUUCCCAUUUCUUAUCAGUAACAUAUAAACCCCGUCGUACGGCGUUUACAUAUCUCAAAUGUAAAGUUUUGCUAAAAAAAAGUGAAAUCACAAAGACAGUGAACUCCCGAUGAAAAUUUCAAAAAGGAAAGUUCGUAAUCAAAUGGCAAAAUCAAAAGCAAAAACACAUCAAACGAAUAGAUAACAACUCUCAUAUUCCUGACUUGGCAUAGUCAUUUUUUAUGUAGAAAAUGGUGGAUUAAACCCAGUCUCAUCGAAUUUAACUUAUAUUGACCACGAUGUUUGAAAAAAAAACCAGACAUAAUAGGUAAAAAUAGAACCUAUUGGCACUUUAAUUUACAGAUGAAAUAUGUGUUCUUCAUUUUGCAACUUAGGUUUAUCAUUUCACAUGUUUGAAGUUGCAAACGUAUUCCCUAGGUUUCAGCACGUCUUGUACCUGCAAAAAAGUGUAAACUCUGAUCUCACAUGAUUUGCAAUGUCGUUGAUACGGACAAGGAACAUGACUGGUCCGAUUCUGUUCCCUGGGGGACUCUUAAAAGUACAACCGAAUCGCCUGGUUUACUUCCAUUUACAACUUUGCAUGUGACGUGUUUGUCAGGAAUGAGUGUAUUUAGUUCAUGAUGGGUGUUUUUGGUACGCCAUAUUUGUAGAGUUUGCUUUAAGUAGUUCGAGUUUCUCGUUUUUUAUAUAGAUUUGACUGUUGGUUUUCCUGUUUGAAGGGUUUUACACUAGUCAUUUUUGGGCUCUCUAUAGCUUGCUGUUUGGUGUGAGCCAUGGCUCCUUGUUAUAGACCGUACUUUGAUCUAUAAUGAUUUACUUUUACAAAUUGUGACUUGAGUGGACAGUUAUCUCAUUGGCACUCAUACCACAUCUUCUCAUAUCUACUUGUUGUAUGUUCUUUCAGGUCUAGAUUUCCUCGGCGCUGUACAUUUCGAUGUGUCCAUAACUAUGUCUUCGGGAUCGCUAUCCUGUGUAUGAAUGUUCGUGAAAUGGCCAGGUAGUGUCGUUAUUAUAAGAUUCUGUUGGGUUGGAAAUAGCACAAGACGUGAGGGA
rnacentral:lncRNA from 1 species